GCUCCCAUGGCGUAGUGGUCACUGCGCUCGCCUUGCACGCGGGAGACCCUGGUUCGAUUCCCGGCGGGGUCA
rfam:Asian citrus Psyllid, Diaphorina citri - Florida Strain, whole genome shotgun sequence.